GGUCAAGUGAAGAAGCGCAUACGGUGGAUGCCUUGGCAGUCAGAGGCGAUGAAAGACGUGGUAGCCUGCGAAAAGCUUCGGGGAGUCGGCAAACAGACUGUGAUCCGGAGAUGUCUGAAUGGGGGAACCCAGCCAUCAUAAGAUGGUUAUCUUGUACUGAAUACAUAGGUGCAAGAGGCGAACCAGGGGAACUGAAACAUCUAAGUACCCUGAGGAAAAGAAAUCAACCGAGAUUCCCUUAGUAGUGGCGAGCGAACGGGGACCAGCCCUUAAGUUGUAUUGAGAUUAGCGGAACGUUCUGGAAAGGACGGCCAUAGUGGGUGAUAGCCCUGUACGCGAAAAUCCCUUUGCAAUGAAAUCGAGUAGGACGGGGCACGAGAAACCUUGUCUGAAUAUGGGGGGACCAUCCUCCAAGGCUAAAUACUACUGACUGACCGAUAGUGAACCAGUACCGUGAGGGAAAGGCGAAAAGAACCGCGGAGAGCGGAGUGAAAUAGAUCCUGAAACCGUAUGCGUACAAGCAGUGGGAGCCCACUUUGUUGGGUGACUGCGUACCUUUUGUAUAAUGGGUCAGCGACUUAUUUUCAGUGGCGAGCUUAACCGAAUAGGGGAGGCGUAGCGAAAGCGAGUCUUAAUAGGGCGUCUAGUCGCUGGGAAUAGACCCGAAACCGGGCGAUCUAUCCAUGGGCAGGUUGAAGGUUGGGUAACACUAACUGGAGGACCGAACCGACUACCGUUGAAAAGUUAGCGGAUGACCUGUGGAUCGGAGUGAAAGGCUAAUCAAGCUCGGAGAUAGCUGGUUCUCCUCGAAAGCUAUUUAGGUAGCGCCUCAUGUAUCACUGUAGGGGGUAGAGCACUGUUUCGGCUAGGGGGUCAUCCCGACUUACCAAACCGAUGCAAACUCCGAAUACCUACAAGUGCCGAGCAUGGGAGACACACGGCGGGUGCUAACGUCCGUCGUGAAAAGGGAAACAACCCAGACCGUCAGCUAAGGUCCCAAAGUCAUGGUUAAGUGGGAAACGAUGUGGGAAGGCUUAGACAGCUAGGAGGUUGGCUUAGAAGCAGCCACCCUUUAAAGAAAGCGUAAUAGCUCACUAGUCGAGUCGGCCUGCGCGGAAGAUGUAACGGGGCUCAAACCAUGCACCGAAGCUACGGGUAUCAUCUUUUGAUGAUGCGGUAGAGGAGCGUUCUGUAAGCCUGUGAAGGUGAGUUGAGAAGCUUGCUGGAGGUAUCAGAAGUGCGAAUGCUGACAUGAGUAACGACAAUGGGUGUGAAAAACACCCACGCCGAAAGACCAAGGUUUCCUGCGCAACGUUAAUCGACGCAGGGUUAGUCGGUCCCUAAGGCGAGGCUGAAAAGCGUAGUCGAUGGAAAACAGGUUAAUAUUCCUGUACUUCUGGUUAUUGCGAUGGAGGGACGGAGAAGGCUAGGCCAGCCUGGCGUUGGUNNNNNNNNNUUUAGAACACGAAGUGGUUGAUGCCAUGCUUCCAAGAAAAGCUUCUAAGCUUCAGGUAACCAGGAACCGUACCCCAAACCGACACAGGUGGUUGGGUAGAGAAUACCAAGGCGCUUGAGAGAACUCGGGUGAAGGAACUAGGCAAAAUGGCACCGUAACUUCGGGAGAAGGUGCGCCGGUGGAGGUGAAGCAUUUACUGCGUAAGCCCCUGCCGGUCGAAGAUACCAGGCCGCUGCGACUGUUUAUUAAAAACACAGCACUCUGCAAACACGAAAGUGGACGUAUAGGGUGUGACGCCUGCCCGGUGCCGGAAGGUUAAUUGAUGGGGUUAGCGCAAGCGAAGCUCUUGAUCGAAGCCCCGGUAAACGGCGGCCGUAACUAUAACGGUCCUAAGGUAGCGAAAUUCCUUGUCGGGUAAGUUCCGACCUGCACGAAUGGCGUAACGAUGGCGGCGCUGUCUCCACCCGAGACUCAGUGAAAUUGAAAUCGCUGUGAAGAUGCAGUGUAUCCGCGGCUAGACGGAAAGACCCCGUGAACCUUUACUAUAGCUUUGCACUGGACUUUGAAUUUGCUUGUGUAGGAUAGGUGGGAGGCUUUGAAGCGUGGACGCCAGUCUGCGUGGAGCCAACCUUGAAAUACCACCCUGGCAACUUUGAGGUUCUAACUCAGGUCCGUUAUCCGGAUCGAGGACAGUGUAUGGUGGGUAGUUUGACUGGGGCGGUCUCCUCCUAAAGAGUAACGGAGGAGUACGAAGGUGCGCUCAGACCGGUCGGAAAUCGGUCGUAGAGUAUAAAGGCAAAAGCGCGCUUGACUGCGAGACAGACACGUCGAGCAGGUACGAAAGUAGGUCUUAGUGAUCCGGUGGUUCUGUAUGGAAGGGCCAUCGCUCAACGGAUAAAAGGUACUCCGGGGAUAACAGGCUGAUACCGCCCAAGAGUUCAUAUCGACGGCGGUGUUUGGCACCUCGAUGUCGGCUCAUCACAUCCUGGGGCUGAAGCCGGUCCCAAGGGUAUGGCUGUUCGCCAUUUAAAGUGGUACGCGAGCUGGGUUUAGAACGUCGUGAGACAGUUCGGUCCCUAUCUGCCGUGGACGUUUGAGAUUUGAGAGGGGCUGCUCCUAGUACGAGAGGACCGGAGUGGACGAACCUCUGGUGUUCCGGUUGUCACGCCAGUGGCAUUGCCGGGUAGCUAUGUUCGGAAAAGAUAACCGCUGAAAGCAUCUAAGCGGGAAACUUGCCUCAAGAUGAGAUCUCACUGGAACCUUGAGUUCCCUAAAGGGCCGUCGAAGACUACGACGUUGAUAGGUUGGGUGUGUAAGCGCUGUGAGGCGUUGAGCUAACCAAUACUAAUUGCCCGUGAGGCUUGACCAU
rnacentral:rRNA from 1 species